UUACAUUGCUGCUGUUGCAAUUCCAGAUAUUUGGUUCAUUUUUCAGUUUAUGGGAUCAACUUCUGCAGUUUGUCUUGCAUUUGUGUUUCCUGGUUCUAUUGUUCUAAGGUAAUUAAUCUUGUUCUAUUCUUUUUACUAUUAAUCUUACAACACUUAUAAACAUGUCUGUGCUUAUACUCAUAAUUAAACCAUUAAUCAUGCUUGUCUAAUUUUUUUUUGUUGUCCAAAAAUAACAGGGAUAUUCAUGGUAUAUCAACAAGAAAAGACAAGAUUAUAGCACUGGCUAUGGUUAUACUAGCUCUAGUAACAAGUGUGAUUGCUAUCUCCAACAACAU
rnacentral:lncRNA from 1 species